rnacentral:rRNA from 1 species
UACGGAGGGUGCAAGCGUUAAUCGGAAUCACUGGGCGUAAAGCGCAUGUAGGCUGUUUUGUAAGUCAGAGGUGAAAUCCCACGGCUCAACCGUGGAACUGCCUUUGAUACUGCUAAACUUGAAUCCGGGAGAGGGUGGCGGAAUUCCAGGUGUAGGAGUGAAAUCCGUAGAUAUCUGGGGGGAACAUCAGUGGCGAAGGCGGCCACCUGGACCGGUAUUGACGCUGAGAUGCGAAAGCGUGGGUAGCAAACAGGAUUAGAUACCCUGGUA